rnacentral:misc_RNA from 1 species
GCCAUCACUGCUACUCCCUGUAUCGGGCAUCUUGCUGACACUCUGUCUCUGUUACUGCAAGCGUUUCCCCAAACAAAGGUGGGUGUGUUGCCAUCACUGCUACUCCCUGUGUCGGGCAUCUUGUUGACACUCUGCCUCUGUUACUGCAAGCGUUUCCCCAAACAAAGGUGAAUGUGUUGCCAUCACUGCUUCUCCUUGUGUCGGGCAUCUUGCUGACACUCUGUCUCUGUUACUGCAAGCGUUUCCCCAAACAAAGGUGGGUGUGUUGCCAUCACUGCUACUCCCUGUGUCGGGCAUCUUGCAUCUUGCCUCUGCCUCUGUUACUGCAAGCGUUUCCCCAAACAAAGGUGAAUGUGUUGCCAUCACUGCUACUCCCUGUAUCGGGCAUCUUGCUGACACUCUGCCUCUGUUACUGCAAACGUUUCCCAAAUAAAGGUGGGUGUGUUGCCAUCACUGCUACUCCCUGUGUCGGGCAUCUUGCUGACACUCUGUCUCUGUUACUGCAAGCGUUUCCCCAAACAAAGGGAACAGGAGGAGCACCAGGAUCAGAUGCAUCAAGAUGAGGUGGAGUAUCUGCAGUAUUUACCUACAGUACAGGGAGAUACACUUAAUACUAACCGUCAUUCGAAUCAUGCCUAUUAUGACGUUAUCGAU